rnacentral:rRNA from 1 species
UACGUAGGGGGCAAGCGUUGUCCGGAUUUAUUGGGCGUAAAGAGCGUGUAGGCGGCCAGAUAGGUCUGCUGUGAAAACUCGAGGCUUAACCUCGAGCUGUCGGCGGAAACCAUCUGGCUAGAGUCCGGAAGAGGAGAAUGGAAUUCCCGGUGUAGCGGUGAAAUGCGCAGAUAUCGGGAAGAACACCCGUGGCGAAGGCGGUUCUCUGGGACGGUACUGACGCUGAGACGCGAAAGCGUGGGGAGCGAACAGG